UUAGAGGAAAUUAAAACACUUUAUUAGACUAAAUAAAAUUGACAAGUUAAGAAAUCGCAGCAAAAGAAAUACAGGCCAGCUGAUCAUGCUUGCAAUAUGUGGGCAAUACUGGUGCUAGAUGGACGGUUGGACUAGAUGAUCUUAAAGGUCUUUUCCAGCCUUGAUGAUUCUGUGAUUCUACAAGAAAUGAUUUUAACUCCAGCUGUUAGAAGAGAGGAAGUGUGGUAAAUUAAGCCAGUAAACCCAAGUCACCCUGCAGCUGCUGGCCAAGGAAGCUGCGUCCGGUCUGCAGGUGAGUGCUGAGGGAGCACAGACAUCCCGUCCUGCCCCUGAGCAGGCAACAACUAUUAGCAGACAAAGCUAGGCAAAGCAAGGAUAUGAGUGCUUCCAGGCUUCAUGUCCAGGGGUUGUUCUUCACAGAGGUUUUCUCCUGCACAGCAGCCGCUCCCCUCCUCGUGCAUUAAGGAGAGCAUUAAAGCCGAAGUCCCUUGCACAGCUUUACUUGAGGUAUGUGCUUUCAGAGGAGGGUUUGGACACAAAGAGCCGUCUUGUCACUCGGGUAAACAAGACACAACUAUCAAGCUCGGUUUGGGGCUUAUCAAUUGGAACCAGCAUGAAAGUGCAUUCCCCAGCUCCAGCUUGCAGUUGCAGUGACUGGUUUCUCAAGAUAAACCAAGAGUGCAUUCAAAUAGUUUCCUCACAGAGUGAUAUGAAAGUCACAUUGUUGUUUCCCCACAUCUUACAAGCCAGCUCCCUAAAUAGGAUUUCAGAGGAACAAAGUGAAUGGGAUGCUCAUUGUGCAGGCAAUGGGAGGCGGUACCAGGUGGGUCGGUGGCCGCUGUUCCCCUCCCUCAGCUGUAUUUUAACUGCCCCCUUUUUCUGGCAACACAAAAGCAGCAGCGUCCCAAGCAUUUGGGUGAGAAAGCUCCAGCCACCUGACCCCUGAUUAACUGCACGGCUACAAGUCAUCCUGCUUUGUCUCUUAAUUGGAGCACCAACCGAUGAGGGUUGGCACGAGGUGCAUGCCUGGUGACCUGCUGGCUCAGGGCCACCCCGAGCAUCCUCCUCAGUGCGCUCAGAUGCUCCAUCUCCAGGUCCUAAUAAAGUCUCCCAGAGAAUCACAGCCACACAGAGGUGUCGCAACACUGUCUGUCCUCCUCACGCCUCUCAGAUCAGAAUGUCAUCGUGGGCAAACGGAACAGCCCUGCUCAGAGCCGCGGAUUUAUUGUUGCUGUAAUAGCAGCCCUAACAGCCUCAUCGCAGUGUAACAAACAGUUAUUAUCCCAGUUACAAUCAUACUGACAUUCAUGCUCUGUAUUAAUAUGGAAAAGCAUCAUUAAUAAUGGCCAUAAACCCUGCUGGUCUCGGUCUCCAGUUGAGCUCAGCCUUCUGCUGCAGUCGGUGCCAAGGUAAGGCCAAUAGCUGUCCCCAGGCCAACACCAAGCCACCAUGAAAAUCACACUGUGAAAGCCUGCAUGGCUGCUUUGGUCACUGAGAUGCAGCAGUGCUGCUGCUGAGAGACGGGAAGCUCAAUGCAGUACAUGGGUCUCCCUCCUGUUCUGUGAUACCCAGUGCUUUGGAUAUGUUAUUAUGCUCCUUCUAUCAGUACGAUAAUAAUUUCAGUUCAGUUUAGCACAAUAUUGCUUACAUUUAAUAGGUCAUAUGUAUCAGAUAAUAUAAACAUAUAUUAACUUUUAUAAGUUAUCAAAUAUUAGAGCUAUCUCUCUUUAAAAGAAUGUUUUCCUAUUUUAAUGCUCUUUUGUCACAAAUGAAGCUUUAAAUUGAAAGAGAUAGAAAACCUCUUCAGGUGCUGUAUGGAUUUAGUUAUCAUUUAGGAAGGAAAUGUGACAGUUUUUGGAUUUAAAAUAACAUUAUUUUUUUUUUUACAGUAACUAUUUAUGCACAACCAUAACACAAAGGCCUUUCAUACCACAGGUACGUGGGAAUAAUUCUUGCUGACGGCUCCAUCCAGUUCCAGCUUGGCUAUGGAGACGUUGGGGACAUGAGAACAGCACGGGGAUGGGGAUCUCCUGGUCAGGGCUGGGUCUCCUCCAUCACCACAUGUCCUCUGUAUCUCUGCUCUGCCACCUUUGCAGAGCCUUUGGCUACAUAGAAAAAUCCAUCAGCUCCCUGGUUUUAGUGCCCAUUAAAUCACAUGGUCUGACAUACCUCAGGCUGAAGAUUGCUGUCUGCUCGAGGUCCCAAAAACUUCCCCAAGAGCCCAAAUGUGGCGGAGAGUGGUGCUAAGUACGGCAAAGCAGAGGGGUGAGAGCUCAUUUUAAUAAUGCAUUGCAGUGUUCACGCUGCCCAAGCAUCUGCUAACUGCCUUCAAUUUUAGGUUAAAAAAAAAAUAAUAAUAAUGGACUUCUUCCAGGGAGAAGUGUAUGUUUAUCUGCAGGCAAUAAUUAGAGGCUGAUGAUUCAGGGACUGCAAAAGGAAUAGGAAAAAAAAGCCCAAAACCUUGGGGAGGGACUGCAGGGAAGACAGCUGAAAACUGUCCUAGGAUAAAUCGAUCCUGAAACCCAGCCAGGCUGAGCAUCUCCCACCUUUAGAGAGAUGCUGUAAGGAUGUCAUGAGCCCACCUUGGGCUGUGGGCAUCCCCUGUGGGAACACAGCAGCCUGGGCUGGUAUCCCAGGGCUCCCUUCCAGCCCUCUGCUAUAAAAAGUGUCUGUCCCUGUCCCCAGAGCCCACAGCUGAUCCCCUGAUGGCACCCCAUCAACCAGCUGGGUGAGACCAUUGCCGUGUGCAGCACUUGGCCCCAGGUGUAACAGGGAUGGAUGCAGACUGGGGCCAUCCCUGUACACCAGGUGUUUAAUCCUUCCCUCUGCACUACAAGAUACUCACAAGUUCCAUACAGACUUUCAAUAGCUGAUCCAGCAAGGCUCCUGAACAUGCAGUGGGGCUUGACUAGUGCUAUUAAAUAGUGAUUUUAUCCAAGUUCACACAGGUAUUGGAUGGGGAAAUGGAGAGAAUGUAGCAUAAAAUAGAUUUUUUUUUCUUCUUUCUGCAGAAGCUUUAGAUUAAAUAAGUUUGUGGUAGCUGGUAGAAUAAAUUAGAUAGGAGCUGGUGAGAUAGCAGGAAGGAUUAGAGGGUGCUUUCGUGAGUAAGGUCAAGCGAAUCUGAGGGGAGAAUGGUUUUGGGGUGGUAACCUGGGGGUCAGUGGGAGUAGGGGGAGAAGAGGAAUAAGGGGGACCCCUCUGAAGGCCACCUCCCCUCUCUACACAGCCAGUGGUGGUCGCCGUCUGUUUGCUCACCUCAGUGCAAUGCCAACAUCCACCACCUCACUGCAGCCACAAAUUCCCUUCUUCUCAUUUGCAGGGAUAUGAAGCAGGCUGGGGAAAACUUACUCAGUAACUUUGUGAAGAAAUCCAGGAGAGAACAUUAACUCUGCACUUCUCAUCUUCAUCAGAUCACUGCCCUUUAAGUACGCUCAAGCUCAUUUUGCGUUUGCAUUCCUUUGCAAUAUCUACUGAGAGAGAGGCAUUUAUGCAAAACUAUUUCUUUUCCUGUACACUUCUCCGUUGCACUGGUAUCAUUUGCACAUUAAAAAAAAAGCUUGUCCGCUAUUUCCCUUUGUAUUUCACCUUCACUCGUUGAAAAAAAUUCUCCAUCCUCUCACUGCUCGAGAAUAUUCUUAUUUGGGGAAGGGUUUUCAUUAAUCCUGCGGAGGUGGGGCCCCUUUGCAGGAUCUAUCACUUCUCUUUAGGUGCCCUUCCCUGACCUGGCUGGUUAGACCACAGACAAGUCACUAAUUAGGUUGUCUAUUGCCUCCUCCGUGAAACUCAUUUUGGGCUGAUUAAAUGCAUCUAUAAACAGUGCUCAGCUGUCUCCUUGCUGCACGAGGAAAGCGUUGCCUUUUCCAAAUGGUGUUUUUGCUUUGACUGUAACAUCUGGGACAGCACAGAGUCAUUUUCUAAGGAACACAACAUGGUACAGACCCGCUGAUGCCUCCAGGCUUGCUCCUGGCCCUGUGCAGAGGGACCCACUCAUCUUCUCCUGUACAUCUCUUCUUUAAAAGCACUAAAACCACCAGACAAAUCCAGAACAAGCCUGUGUGGCAGCUGAGCUGAGGUUAUAGUGCCGAACACCAAGUGCCAGCAGGGUGAAUGCAGCUGGGCAUCGAUGGUGGCCAACCCAGAAAGCCACAGUGUCAGCUAUGGGUCAGAAUGCGUCUUUUGUCUUGCCAAGAAACUAUCCAUUUCUUUUGGCAGGUUGAUUUCUUUCAUAUCCAAAUAGCUCAGAUCAACACUGGGGCUGUGGAGGUCAGAAGGUGGCACAAGGAGCUUUUCCGCUCAAAACAUCUGAAAAGAAGGUGAUGUUGGCAUCAUCCCUAUACGUAAGAGCCUCUGUUAAAGCCUUCUUCCAAGAGCAAACCUUGGGCAGCCUGUCUCAUGACACCAAGGGAUCUCCAGCAUGCAAUUCCCAUUUCAGAAUUACUGAAUGCAAAGGGCUACAAAGAUGACUGGAGGCAUGAAGUGUUUCUCUUACGAGGAAAGGCUGAUAGACCUGGGACCCUUCAGCCUGGAGAAGAGAAGCUGAGAGGGUACCUUAUGAAUGCUUUUAAGUAUCCAAAGUCAAGUGGAAGGGCCCAGGCUCUGUGUGGUGGUACCCAGCGACAGCACAAGGGGCAACGGGCACAAACUGCAACACAGGAAGUUCCACCUGAACAUGAGAAAGAACUUCUUUCCUGUGAGGGUGGCAGAGCCCUGGAACAGGCUGCCCAGAGAGCUGGUGGAAUCUCCUUUGCAGAUGUUCAAGUCCUGCCUGGAUGCCUGCCUGUGCAACCUGCCGUAGGGAACCUGCUUUAGCAGGGAGGUGGACUGGAUGAUCUCCAGAGGUCCCUUCCAACCCCUGUGACACUGUGAUUCUGUGAUUUUUUGGAGUGCAAAUGAGUUGCAGGACUUCAGGCUGGGCCCACAUUGCCUUCCUGUGGGUUCCAGAAAGUCACAGAAUCAUCAAAUCAUUUGGGUUGGAAGGGACCCUAAAAGGUCAUCCCUGUCAGCUCCCCUGUAAUGAACAGGGGCACCUACAGCUCCAUCAGGUGCUCGGAGCCCUGUCCAGCCUGACCUUAGUAUCCUUAGGUAGGAGAAGCUGAAGGAUGAGGAAGGUUUCUGCAUCUCAGUGAGUGGAGCAAAGGAAAGCAAGACUUCGGGUAUCGGUCUCAAUUUCUAAACCUUAGGUUUAUUCACCAAUUGCACAGCAGCACCAUGGAGCCACUUGCCAGAACUCAAGCGAAAUGUCACCUCGUGGGACAUGCCACCAGCCUCUUCCUUCCCACUGCUUUAUCCCCACAGACUGCACUGAUGGUGGAGGACAGAAGCUAUUUCUGGCAGUGUGAGGCUGCUGUCACACAUUCCUGCAAAGCCUUCCCUCUGUCGGGGAGCAGCCGCUGAUCAGCAGGGAUCCUCAUCCCACAGCUGGGAUGGGGAGGACACUUCCAGCCAGCCCUGCACAUGGGCACACGGAGUGACAGCUUCAGCUUUGCAUGGUCCUGGCCGUGUUUUACGGAAGCUUUGAGUAAAUGUGGAAAACACACAAUUAGAGGCCAUUGCGUGAUUGAUUUCUGGGCGCAGGGGCCUUUCCUCCUUGCCUGGAAGGCCUGGCAGGUAUUAUUUAAAGAGCUAAUGAAUGUUAAUGGGCACAUUAUUUGCAAAUCUUGAAGUGGAAUAUUAGAUCAGGGCUCCUGUGUGUCAUGGUAAUCAGCUUUCCCUCACUCGCUCUGGCUCGAGGGGGGGGAACACCCUGCAGUCGCUUUGUUAUAUGCUUUUCAGAUUAAUAUCCUUUUUCCAAUCCAGCAGCUUUUCGCUGGGUGUUUCAGUCAAAGAAGCAGAUGGCUCGCAUGCUGGUAUUUGAUGCCUGACCAAAGGGAUUGUCCUGCUCAAAACCGCCCCACCGGGAGUGAGGAGCAAGGAUCCUGCUUUGUCUUCUCCAGAGUGAAAAGAAGAAAGGAUGUGGGGAAGGAGCCAGGGAUGGGCUGGCAGUGGCUCACCUUGGGGAUGGAGGUUGGCCACUGAAGCCCUGAGCUGCGGCAGCAGGUUGGUUGCAUGGCAAGCGCCUGGACAGGUCUUCGUGCUGGGUUUGAGCUGUUCCUAAGCUUAUCUUGCAUCUUCUAUGAGACAGCCCUGCCCACCAUCCCCAUUUUUCGCACAUAUCUCCUUCCUUUCCCCUCCACUAUGCCCACAUCCCUCCAGGAACACCCAUCAGCCCUGUCCUGACCUCCAUGCAGGUUGGUGGCUGCCAACCAACACCUUGGUGUGCACCAACAGGCAGAAAGCCCCUGCUGAGCACCACAGGUGAGGCUUGAGUCUUCUCCGCCGUGCUUUCAGUAAGAACACAGGAAAAGAUUCAUCUCCUGCCCCAAAUCCUGGAUUUCCCAUAAGUCCCAGAAAUGUGUCACUCUGGGUCUGACUUUCCUAAUGGAGACUUUUCCAAGCUUCUGACAGAGGAAUGAAGCUGCUGCAGAGCAAGAAGCACAGCUCAGCCUGGCACAGAGGUCAACUUGCUCCAUAGCUCCCAACAUGAGCUGCAGAAGGACACAUGGCCGCUGGGUGACAGAGGACCAUAUUUAGGUGCUGGAAGUGUUGGUACUCCUGCAGAGAACCACGCAAGGUGGGAGCAGUUCCACCACCCCGGGUGCUCACACAUGCAGUGCAAGCAAAUGAUGGGGAAGGCACAGUGAUUCAUCAAAUCACUGCCAAAACAAAAUUCAUAACCCUCACUAUAUAUUUCCUGCAUCCUAGUUGGUGAAGCAGGAGGAUUUCUACCCAGCCUAAGAAGGGGGAGAGUUUUCUGCUCUGAUAUGUUUGUUCUGUUGCCUCCAGACGUCUUACUGUCUGCCACCCGUUCUCCUUAGCAUAUUGGUGCCAACCUACUUUGUAUUAACAGCAAUUCAAAUGUUAGCAGAUGCUGUCCAUGUUAAUCAAAAAGAAGCUUAAUACAAAUAUAUGAUUACUGUAUGAGUAUUGUAUAAGUGAUAUUCGGCUGUCUUAAGCUAAAAUAACAAUAUACACUUUUAUCCAAUCCUGAUACAUUUAUAAAUAUAUUUAAAUGGGUAUAAAUAUUUAUAAAUAGUUUCUGUAAUCUCCUGUAAUUAGGCUUUAAGCUCUGUGACAGGCAGCAUCUGUUUGAUCUGCGUGCGCUCGCCGUGUGCGUGUGUCAGGUUUCUCUAUUAAAGGCAGCGGAGCCGUGUGGGUGCCUCCGAGGAGCUGCAGGGCUGCAGGCAGCAGGACAGAGCGACAGAGGGACACACCGCGGGGACCGGGUGCAGCAGGGAUGCGUUGUGAGGGAGCCGUUCCUAAACCCUUCUAAUUUCUGCUCUGCAACUCUUUUGAUCGCGACUCUUUUUGGUUUGGGCAGACUGGCAGCAGGUAAAGGAUGAUCUGUGACCAUGUAAUGCUGCCAAGAGCUCCCAGCGGCACCUCCCUGUGCUUGGGAUCUCUGCUGAGUCAGAGAUGGGUGCCCGUACUGUUCCAUGUCCGUACUGACUGCUCAGGGCUGGGAGAUGUUGCUCAGAUGCCUACCAGUCAUUCAGCAGCACUGUGCGGUGACACAGCGCAGGCAGGACAGGAUGCUCUGCCUGUCCCACAUCAGGAUACCACAAGUAGAGCAGGGGACAUGAAGCCUGGGUGGCUUUUUGGACAAAUUCAGGCAGCGGGCACCUGCUUUGUUUGGCUGGAGAACCCACAGCAGCCAUUUGGGGGCAAUGACGCAGCUCAUGCUCUGGGCAGAUGCUACCAAGCGGCCUCAUGCCCUGUGGGCAUAAGAAGGGUGAAGAGAGGAUGGAGAGACAGCACUUGAGUGGCUCCACUCACAUCUAUGUCCUGGGGGAUGCCCAUGUGCACACAACCGGAGGGAUGUCCCCAACUCCCAUGGGUACCACCCUGCAAUCUCCACCUGUGUGCCUGGCUUGAGGGAUGAUAGGGGCACCCUGACCUGCCUGUUCAACCAGCCUGGACACAAAAGCAUGUGAGAGGAGUGUGUUUUGCCCAUGGCCCUGGGGUAAAACCAUGCCCUGGGGUAAAAACACAUCCUGGGAAGGUGGAGGAUCCUUUGCUGUUGGAUGGGGAAGUUUGUGGGAUGGAGACAAGUGCUGGGAAUUGCAGCAAGAUAAGACCCAACCAGGACCAGGGGCAGUGGGUUAUUGCCUUCUCCAGUUUGCAUCUUCAAAAACAGGAGAAGCAACUGAAAAAUACACACAUUGCAAGCUGAAAAGUUACCAAGUGAUCUUUGCUUUGCAGCUUUGCUCCUCAGCUGUGUAUCUUUAAUCUUACCAACGUCUUUAAUCAGAAGAAAAUCUGCUUUAUCCCUAAAGCCUGGGGUCUGAACAUGGGCCAUGCAAACAAAAGGAAGUGAUUGCACAGAGGGGGUUGUAUCCUCUGACCACAGCCACAAUCAGUGGCCUAUAAGGAUCCAAGUGCUUUGUGGGGUUCUUGGGCUGGGUUGGUUUUUUUGUGUGUUUUGUUAUUGUUUUGCUUUGUUGUUGUUUUUUUCUUUUUAAUGAGUUAGCAUGGCUUUCUACAGAUUUGCUCUUCCAUGGGCCUGUGGCGUAAGAAAUCACACAAUUGAUAGGGGAAGAAGUUUUGCAGCCAUUCCGCUCCCCUUAGCACACCUCUCCUGCAACACAGUCCUCCUAGUCUGCCUUUCUCCCUCCUCCCUGUGGCCGAAUGCUCUUGACAGCUUUUAGCAGUGAUAAAAAAGCUCAGAGAAAAUGAUGAGACCAGGAAAUAAUCCUGCGUUCAGCCUAGAAUAGGAGAGCAGGGAUGGCACCGAGGGAUUUCUGCAGCCCUCCUGCUGGCACGGGGCCCGUGGUGCCAUCUGCAGAUGGUGAUCCUGGGCACGGAGCGGGAUGGAAGUCACAGGUUUAACCAGAAACCUGAAACAGUGCUCCUUCCCAUCCUUCAAAAAAUUUGCAUCUUGCUUAGUCCAAAAUAUUCCCUUAAAAUGGUAACACUGAUUAAAUUUUAUGAACUGAAAAACGUGGAGGAAGGGUCUGAUUUUUAAUUUAGAAAAUGUCAGAAGCAUGUUUAGAGUUUUAAAUUACUUCUUUUUUUUUCUUUUAAUGCACAACCUGAGGAUUUUAAUUGCUUUUUAACACUGUCUCUCUUAUCAGGAAUAACACUCGAUGAAUAAUGGAAACUCUGGGUUGCCACCAAAGAGGUCCCAGACCUGCAGAAGAAGCAGUUGGAGGAGAGGUGAGACCUGGGCCGCCACCAGGAUACCUUUAUGGGCAUCCUGCAGAGGUGAGACCUAUGCGGAGCAUCCCAAUGGUGGCCAGGUAUGCAGAGGAGAGUGCUAAGGAUGCAAAGGUGAAAGGUGUUGGGAUGAAAGCGUUGGGAUUGGAUGGAUGAGCAUGGCAUAUUGGCUGGGUGAUGCCUGGGGGUGUGACUGGGGAAAGCUGUGUGAACAGGGUGGAAACCAGCUCCGUGCUGAGGGACUUGGAAUACUCCCUGAGCAAAAUGGUUAAAUGUCCAAACAACACUAAAAAUAGCUCCUUCUUGGGACAGCCAGGAGAAGCAAUGGUAGAUUCAAUCCUGUGCAGGCCACAGGGCUAAUUUAAAAUGUGAUUGAAGAGCCUCUCUAAAAGUGCCCAUCAUGUACUUAAAGUCGGUGGCAUUGUAGGACUUUUUUUUCUUAAAAAAAAAAAAAAAGAAAGAAAGAAAAAAAUGGAAAAGUUCAUUGCGACUUCAUUUCAAAAAGGCAAUCCACAUAAAAGUGGUGAGGCUUGUUAAAAAGAAAUUAAAAAGCAGCUGUCAAAAGGGUAAAAUUCUUCCAGGGGACAUAGACAUUGUUUAAAGAUCUUCUAUUAGAUGAUGAGAGUAGAUCUAUACAAUUAUCAAAAGAGACUUUAAAAGGGCAAAAAAUUAGCUGUUCUCAUUAAAGAACAGACUAAAGGAGUUUGUCAGAGGUAAAAUAGUAUCCUCCAGAAAGUGGAAGUCACGUCCAAAUGAGGAAAAUAAAAAAGAGCACAAGAUGACAAAUUAAACUUAAAACUACGAUAAAGGGGAGCCCUUUUUUUAUUAGCAGCUUUCUAAGGUAUAGAAAUCGCAUAAUUGACCCUUUUUGUCUAUCAUCUCAGCAGCAGGAGCUGUGGAGGGCCGGGGAGGGUCGAGGUGUGGGAUCAGAGCCUGAAUGUGCAAAAGAGGAUAAUACUGAAAAGGGCCCCAAACACCUCAAUAGUCAGAGCUGAUGGUGAAAAGCUGCAGCCGAACACCUCUGGACAGUAAAAUAAGAGGGAAUCCAGGAAAUGUGCAAAAUGAUGAGCACGGGUGAAGCCAUCUAUUUGUACUUUAAAUAGUCGUGAGCCUUCAAUGAGCUGUUACUGCCCAGGAAAGAUAACUUGGACCUUGCACAGCCAUCGUGUUAUGAAAACAUCGCCUCAGCGAUCUGUGAUGGCCUAAAAAGUAAAUUGAGCGUGGAAAUUUUUAGAGGAAAAUAAAAGUGUUAAACACAACAGAAGAGAUCAAUUUGUCAUUGAGCAGAUCAAUAAUUCACCUGCUACUUAAAUACUGCUCACAAAUCUGUUCCCUCCACUGGAAAGCAAAGAGAGGAAACGAGAAAGAAGGGGAGAUGCAGAGGAAGGCAGCAAAGAUGAGGGCUGGGAGCGGCUGGCAGGAAGGAGGACGUGUGAACCAGGCAAAAGAAAUGCUUUUUCGUAACAAUUUUGCAUAAUUAAACUUCUGCCAAAGGGCAUUGUAGAGUCUGGAUGGGCUGCGGAAUAACUGAGCAGCGAAAGGCAGAGCAUCCUCGGAGAUGCAGUGGGAUGCUUGGGGUCCCUCUGGCCUUGCAGCACCUCCCCAUAAGGAGUGUUGGCUCCUCUUAACUCUAGUUCUGGUUUGAAGCUUCGGGAAGGGAUCCAUCAGGAAACUCCUGAGAUGGGAGCGCGGGGCCAGGCUGCAACAUGAGCUCAGAGCAGAAGGAGGUCUACAUGGCACAGCAGGUCCAAACAGGAAACAGAGGGCUGCCUUUAGUACACAGCACGGGAUUUAGGGUUGAAAUGGUGGAGUCACUGUCCCAGGAGGCGUUCAAGAGCCAUGGAGAUGUGGCACUUGGGGAGAUGAUUAGUGGGCAUAGUGGGAUGGGUUGAUAGUUGGACUAGAUGAUCUUAGUGGUUUUUUCCAAUCCUGAUUCCAUGAUUCUAAAUACAGGCCCUUUUGCAUUAUAGGGUACACCCAGGUGGUUUUUGGUGCUAAGGUUGGGCCAAGUAUCCCCUAUUGAUGGGCUCUGCAACAGCAAGAGAUGCCAUGGGUAUCAACUGCCUAAUUCAUCUGCAAUAAAGAGUUGGAAGCCCUUACAGCCAAACCCAACAGUCAGUUCUCACACAUGCUGCACGUUUUUACAGCUCUGCCAACUGAUUUAUUGGAAAACAGAAAACUCUCAAAUUCUCAGAGCUAUAAAUGCUCUUUGUUUCAGUUCCUUCCUGACAAGCGUAUUUAUGAUGAUCACAAAGGAAAGAUCACAACAAAUCCUGGCAAAAAAUGGAAGCGAGAGGAGCGAGCCAAGCUGCAGAUAAUAAGUAACAAAUCAGGGAAAGGAGGAAGGUAAUGGUUGUGAUUAAAAAUCAGAUGCUAUGAAAUAAAGAACAAUUGAUGAGAGAAGUGAAAGUAUCCAUUUAAAAAACCCGUAUCCAAAUGCGUUAUGGACAACAAGAAAGCAUUUUAAAUUAUCUGGAACAUGAGAAAUUCUAGCAAAACGAUGAUGGUAGAGAUCCAUUUUUUGAUAGAUGUGGUAGUGCUGCCAAUAAUAACGCAGACGAUGCAGAAGGGCCCAAAACCUGCUCGGGGUCUGAAACACUGAAGACUACAUUUUUUCAGCUCACGGUCCCCACCAUUUUCUAUUCCAACAGCACUGCACACAGCAGUUACCAAAUUGUUAACAGUUUAAAAGAUGUUAAGCUGCCACCCUUAAUUAGCUGAAAUAAUUAUUAAUUUUUAAAGGCUUUCAAUUAAUUUUUAAACCAGUUUUCAUCUGCACAAUCAGCCAACUUGUUUAUAAAUUUGGGAAGAGAAAGCACUAAAUAUUUUACAGGAAUGACAGGGGGAAAAAAAAAAGAGGUGGUGUGGUACUUCUUAUGAGCUUGGAAAAAAGAUGCAUUUCCAAAAGCAGUUUGGGAGCCUGGGGUUUGCCUUUGAUGUAGAAGUUUAUUGCCUUUGUUAUUCUCUAAAAAAGUCGUGAGACGUUUUGAUUUGUUGGGUCGCAGUGGGUGGGAGGUGACGAGGAAGGUUUGGUUCGUGAUUUGUGAGGCUGUGGGUUGCUCUGGACAUUCAGGAUUUUCCUCUCGGUCAAACCGCCAUGACUCAAGCAGAAUAUUGGUAAAAGAGCCAUAAAAUUACCAGGGUCGCUGCGACACUCAUUUCAUUAUGAAUCCAGAUGCAAUACAAAUGAAAUGAUGUUUAAGCAGGGAAAUGAUGCACUCCAUCUCUACUGCAAAAUAUGAGUGUACAAAUGUGAAAAUUUGGGUUCCAAAAGGGCAUUUGUAAGAAAUAAUGCCUUCACCCCUGUAGUGCAGCACUUCUUGCUUGGCCAGGCUGGGGAGGCCGUGCCUGACAGAGAACAAAUUGCUGCUUGGCAUCCAUGCCUCACAUCGGUGCCUUCUGGCAUUGCCAUCUGCAUUUCAGCAGGGUCUCGUGUUACCUGUGUCCUGGAUUGUGACACCGAGCAAUGGUGGGAGCAGCUGGAGAGACCCCAAACUUUCCCCAGGGCAAAGCCAUCAGUGUGCAAGGGCACUGCUCUCAAGAACUGCAUGAGAUUCAGUAAUUAAAAGGAUUGAUCAUUUUUUGCAAUAGGGUUCGUAUGGCACAUAUAUAUAGAGAGAGAGAGAGAUGAGGUUACACAGAACCACCAGGUUCUUGGUCUACGUCUGCACCGAGCCCAAGCUGCAGGUUAUCCUGGGCAAAUGAGAGGUGGGAGCAGGGAUGCAGGUGCUGCCAACUUCCAUGCAUCCACCCCAGGGGCUAACAAAGCCCUGCUGCAAUAACGCUGUGUUCAAAACAAAACAGAGCAUGCUAUCCAACAAAAGAAAAUAAGGACAUGUAUCAACAGCAUAGCUGGAAAGUUUCAGUUUUAGCCUCUCCUCUGGUCCCUCUCUCUCCAUAUUGAAGACAUUCACCAUCUUUUGGCAACUCAGUGCUUUCCGAGGCAGUCUGGACAUGUGACAUCAUUCAUGUUGAUGCAGCACAAUCAUUAAAGAUUUUUUUUUUCUUUGCCAUAAUGGGUUUCAUUUUGAAUAGAGUGUGCUGAUGGGAAAUAUCCAUCGUGGUGGGAGCGUGCAGUUCCCAGCACUGCAGCAGGAGUGGGGUGCUCCAUCAACUGCACCCCUGGGAUGAGCUCUCCAGACUAGAGCUGCAGCUGCUGCUUGUUCAUCCCCACACAUAUGGGGCUGUUGGGCCCUGGUGGGCACCGGGGAUGGAUGAGCAGACAGCCUGGCUGGGAAGCUGAUGAGACUGUAGGAGCUGGGGUUUGAAAUUGGGUGUCCUGCAAUGUGUGGCCUGAAUCGAGCACUCCCGCUUCCAAAAUCCUAGGAGAGCAGCUCAGAACACAUCAGUGGUCACACUUCCAGCCCAGCCAAAUUUGUAGAAAAAGUCAGAAAGCCAUAAAAAUAAGGCAGCAGUGUUGGCUGUUGUUCACCAUUGCUAGUGCACAUCCCAGCCCAUUCCCAUGGCAGGUGCUCUCCGGUCAGGGUGGGUGAGAGGGGAGCACAGGUUCUUCCAAUCACCACCAGAGCCCUGAAGUUCCCACCAGUGGGUAACACCUUAAAGCUGAGCUGCACAGAGUGCAGAAGGAUGGGCUAUAUCUGGACGUGCUGAAAUAUUUGUCUUGUGCUCAUACAGACCCAGCCUGCCUUGCACGCCUGUUUGCCUAACUGAUGGAGGCUUGAUAGCUGCAGCAGGGAGCUCAUUAAUUGAAUUCCAAAGGGAUUAAUUACGGCAGGAAUAAGAGGGCUCUCUGUCAUCUUGCAGGUUUUUCCAUGCUGCUGGAUUUGAGGGGCCUGGAAUGUGGUGAAGGCUGGAGGAGACCAUGGUAUCUCUGCUGUGACACUGCUGUCCUGCUGGGCACAGAGAGGGGUAACACCAGGUCUCAGUGGGACACCAUCUGCUGUUUCCUUUAUCUGGACAACGGAGAGGUGUUGAGGUGAGUGGAAGGAGGUGGGGAUGGUUCUGUGCUCCCCUCAGGAUAGCAGCUGGAUGGCCAAGCAGCAGCACCAGCACAUGGCAUGAUGUGGUGAGACCUCAGGGCACGCAUCCAGCAGCACAAUGACAGCCAUGUUCACCAAGGUUUAUCCCCACCAUGCCACGGGGUGCUUUGCAGGCUGGGUAUGGACAUAAGGAGCCCAACAGCUGCAAAAACCUGCCCUGGUAAAGUGCUUGGCAUGCAGGGUGCUGCUGCAGAGCAUUUCCUUUGGCCCUGCGACCCAUCCAGCCAAGCCCCAGGGAGGAACCAGGAUUUCCUGUGUUUAAAAAUACACAUUUUUAUAUGCAUAUAUAUAAACAUAAUCCUCCUUCCCUCUUUCAGAAGUCAAAAUUAACUCCAGCUGUGCCAGUGAUACAGUUCACUGUGCAGACCCGCAGAUGUGGGAAGGUGCUGCCAGAAAAACAGUGAAGGGGCUUAAAGACUUCCCUGACCACCACAGAUGCUGGGAAAAAGGCAUUCCGUGCUGCUACACUCUAAACCAACCCCUGGCCCUGCCUAUUCAACAGCUUUACUGCUUGACACGCCAUGCAGAAAAUGGUUCUUGGCUGUUAAAAGGUUUUAGCGCAGUUGUGGGAGGACUUUUUGCCUGGCCCUGGCUGUGCUCUGCCUUAGGGACAUGGUGGCAGUUUGAGGAUGCCUGAAGCAGGAGCCCUGGGUCCCAUCACCCAGCGCUGCUGAUGCUGCAGGGAGGCCAAGUGGUUUUUUCAUAGGGCAAGGAGAAGGCUGGGCUGCUAGGUCCUGGAAAAACAAAUGGAGGGGCUCCCUCUGUGCAAAAGAUGGUUGGUACUUGGAUGCCACCUCCUUGCACUGCCCUCAGUGAGGGCAUCGCUGGUCCUUGGGGAUGUGAAAGGCUGAACUGUGAGGGGAGCAGCACCCACAUCCCUGCAGCUUCAGCCAUGGCCCUGAGCACCAGCCCCCCUCCUAAUGGCUGUAUGCUCCUCUCCUGGCGGAGCAUAUGGCUCCCCUUAUGCUCCUGUCGUGUCCAAUCUCACACAGUGGCCCUAGUGCUCUUAAUCAGUAGGCAAGCACGUGGAUGCCUUGGUAAGUGAAAGGUUUGUACAGGGGAUGGAAGCAAUGUGUUGGUUCCCCCCCACACACAUCUUUAGUUUCUUAGGAAAUAAGUGCAAAGUGCAGCUCAGAGUGUCCCCGGAUGCAUUUCUCCUCUGUGCUGGGGUUGGAGCAUCCAAGUGAGGGAGAUCCCAGGAUGUGGGAACAGGAUGAGGAGGGGCAGUUUGGCAGGAGGAGGGUUAUUGCUCCCAGCGUACCCUACCAGCACCCACACGGCACCUCGGGGGCAGGAAGAAGGGCACACAUCAAAAAUGUAGGAAGUGCCUUGCUGGGAAAGAGUUGAGGUAAAGGGAGAAGCUACUCUAGCCAAUGUUUAAUAGAAAAAGCACUAAAGCUAGAGACAGCUAUAGAGAAAUAAGAAAUCCAUUUUUUAAUGGAUUUGACUGUGCUUUAGACUGGUUCCAAAAAGCUUGGAGUGAUCCAAUUAACAAGGUAAUGAGUUGCUGAGAUAUUUACACUGCUUCUGGACAAGGCUCUGGUCCAGGGUAUUAAUUUGCUUGGGAGGGGGUGCAUAUUGCAGAUAAGUUUCCAUUUUUUUCCUUGUGGUUAUAUUCAGACUCGGAUGUUUUUGGUUUUUUUCAAAGGACUCCCAUUAUUUCUGACUUAGGGUUUGUUCCCUGUGGGUGUCAGCUCCCCUUCAAAGGAAAGAAAGGGGCUUUUCUGGGGGCAGCAAGGCUUUGUGAUUACCCAGGGGAUUGCUGGGAGGUUGCAGGACUGAAAGGAAACCCAAAAGAAAGGACCUUCCUCCCAGGGUAGAACAUCACUAUUCCAGAUCAUUCUCUACUUUCUAUAUUUAUCAGGUGCUCUGAUGAAGCCCAGCUCUUAAGUUUUGGGGUAUUUUGGCACGAAGUCUUGGGGAGGAGGUGCAGGCAGGCUCUCCUAGAGCUCAAGAACCUCGUGGGGUUUUGCUGGCCUGUUAUCGGUAAUAGAAACAGUGGAAAAGCAACAUCUCCAGCAGCUUCAGGUUUCAUUUCUCCUUUAGCCCUUGGGUCUCCAAGGUAAACUAUUAUAUUGCCAAUAUUGAGUGCAGUGUUGUUUGAAAGUAGUAAGGCUGCAGAUCAUCAGAGGUCAGGUUGUAUUUGAUUUUGGCCAAUUGGCAAUUCCCUGUGUUUGCAUCUGUUCCUGGAAGUAAAUGUCUUCUUGCUUUCUGCACUAAUGCCAGCAGCAGCCAAAAGCUUCCCAGGCGCCUGGGUGAGGGCAGAUCUUUACCAGCACUGCCCUAAGCUGGGGAACAGAACCUGAGCCCCCAUUCCUGAGCUCUAAUGUUGAGCCUUUUCCAGCAUCUCUGACUGCCAUGCAGGAGAACCUGGAUCCAAGCCUCAGAUGGAGCAAAAAUAUUUGAACCUUGCGGAGAAAAAAAUGGGUUUUGUGCAUGUACCUCUCAGCUUGCAGCUGCCAUCUAUCAUCCUGCUGCUUCCUGCAGCACCUGGCUGGUCUGUACGUGUGUGUGGCCAAGGUUCCCAGGCACCUGGAGAAGGGGACAAGGUUAGUCUUCAGGAUCCAUGCAUGGAUGUGUUCUAGCCUCCACGAUGGAUUUGCACAGUGUGUUUCCUGGGCAAUGCAGGACUUGCCCCAUGAGGACAAACCAGCUGCCUUUGGGCACGAAGCCCAACCUGAGCAUGCUGAACACAUCAUCCUUUUGGUCCUGCUGGUGGUGUCAGUCCUUUGGGUGAUAUAUCUUGAGCACACUUAGCUGGUACGUUCCACCUGAAGUUUUGGUCAGAAAGUUCUUGCUGAGGGCAGUAGGGGAUGGCUCAAAAUGGCUGUAGGUUACUCAUGCAGGUCUAUCCCAGAACAUCCCCUGGGAAGAAUGGACAGUGCAUUGUCCUUUGAAAUCGAGUCCUCUGCCAAAAAUUACUUUGGUCAUUUAUUUUAAUUCCUCCAAGUCCUGAUAGUGUCAACUACUUCUUGGUUGAGCAUGACGUCCAUUUUGCUGUGUUACUUCUGCUUUGGAUGAAGACCUUGAGAGUGCAAAGUCCUGGCUAACUUCACCCAGGGCAGAACACGGGAUUGUGCUGCAGAAGUAUCCCACCUAGGAAAGGGGACUGACUUUAAGAGUAGAGGAUUGCUGCUGAGAAGCUGCUCUGACCCAGGAAACUAUGGAUUACCUGCAAGAUGUAUUGGAAUGGCUGUCAGCCAAGGGCUUCUCAGCCUUCCACUAAGGCAAAGAUAGGGAGGAUGGAGAAACUCCUUUGGAGCAAUUGCCAUGUCAGAAGAGCUAACACAGCUGGAAGCUUCCUGCUCACCAAGAGGUGCUGGCAAACCUCAAGCUUAGGCAUCAGAAUAGGGAAGUACAAGUCUCUGGGCCCUGUUGCUUGCAGGUAGCUGUAGCCACGGGAUUUUCUGGUAAGAACACCUCACUAAUUUGUUCCCCUGAUACUCCUUCCCAGAAUAAUUCAGCAUCAGGACUGCAGAGAUCAGUGUCCAAGGAGGGAUGCUCCCCUUGGUGGGGACAUCCUGAGCAGCAGUUGAACAUCUCACGUUUGGGAAAUGAUGGUCGAGUACGACUGUCCAAACAGUACUGCUGGAUGCGGAUCUUUCCACAGUGCCCUGCAGGAUCUUCUUCCUGCAUCUCUGAGUGAUGAUAGAGCUGGGAAGACCUUUAAAAAAGAUUGAUGACACACUAAGAAAAGAAGCUUUUUUUUUUUUUCUUUUUUUUCUCAUUUUAGUCUGAAGAGUUAGGUUUCCAAGCUUUGUUUUUCAGAUUUUAAAGAAAUACACACACCUAGGGGGAGGCAGGCAUGUUUCAUUAACAGUUCAGCACAGUCCAAAACAUGACAGCAAGCCUCCAUUUGAAAUUACCGACACACCGGAGCAGCCCUGCUGGGCUCCCUCUUUGCAGGACUGCCAGCAUCGCUGCGAACCCAAACACCCGGACGUGGAGGCUGCCUCUCCAUCUCCAUUAAGGCUCUUUUCAUGACACAGCUUAUUGUCAAGCACUGUUCGCAUCUCUUGCCUUCUGACCAAUAAUUGUUGCUGUUGGUUUGCUCUUAUCCCAUUUAUUAUAUAGGUUGUUUUAUGCGUUUUUAUUGCUUCUUUCACCUUUCAUCUAACCAAGGUGUAUUUUUCCAUUGCCUUUUUAACCAGUGCAGCUGGUAUGAACACAUUUAGAGCAUCUUUUAGAACGGUCUUCAACGACUCUAAAUUAAUCACUCAGAAAUAUUUCCUGUGAUUUUCCUACCAGUUCCUAAAUAUUUUCAGCUUGGGCACAGCAUGUGCCUGUCUUGGUGCCCAGGCACGUAUCACUUUUGGGCACAGCAAUAAAAUCAGGGCACGACAUACCAAGAUAGCUGCUAAUAAGGGUUUUAAUUUGGUAAUCAGUUCACCCUCAACCAUUAGAAAGGGGGCAAAGAUGGUAAUAUCCUGGAGGCAAUGAAUGCUUUGAGCCGGAAAAUAAUCAGGGUAUGUUUCUGAAGCUUCAAGGAUAUGUGAUUAAGAGCCACCCGAGGUCUCCCAGGAGCUGUGCCUGCAGCCACAGUAGUGUAGGGUGCAUUUAUCUCCCUUUAGGUAAAGCAAAACUCAAGUCACUCAAUCUACAUCACUCCCUUCAGGAUACAGUCUGGGGACAAGGAGGAGAAUUCUCCUCUUUUGGAAGAGAUCACUCAAAAAAUCCCCAGUCCAGGAGCUCUGCUUGAGGAGCAGCACGUUACCAUGCGCCGGGUGUUUUACGGUAGAUGCCGGGGGCUGGCUCCUGCCUCCUGGCACUUCCUUAGAGAGAAAAUAAAUCUUGAAUUACCUUGUUUUCAUUUCCAAUAAAACUGCAUGCUGACAGUUGCCUUGGAGCUAAUAAUCUGAUACGGUGCUGUGCAUCUGUGAGUGUUUGUAGCAUGGGUGUGCUGCUUCUGUGUUUGAGACUGACAGGGGCAGCGCUGUAUUGUUUUCCUCCUGCUAUAUUGUGUUCCCAGCACAUCACAAUAAAAAGAAAUGGGAAGGUAGGUGAUUUAUCAUAAUACAAAAAUGAAAGGUAUAAUAAUGUAAAUUAUGCACAUCAUUAGCCACAGUCGUUGCUCUACAGUGGACACAGGUUCUACAAGAAAAUCGCCCUUAGGAUGAAGCCAUGACAACUGUCUUUGAAGGGCUUCCUUGAAGAUGCUGGAAGACCAACAUGCUCUCUUCUCAUGAGGUUUGGAGAACUGGCUGAGAGUCCCAUCAGUGUAGUAACGGCUGCACAAGGCACAGGGUUGCACACUCCCCCUGUACCCCUGAACACGUCAAGCACUGUGGGUGGGAUUUGUAUGGUUACAGUGGACGUGGACCAGUUGCUCUUAUCCCCGUGUCUCCUCAAGGCAACUGAAGUCAAUGGCAUGACCCACUUCUUCCAACAGAUGGCAGAAUAAGGGUAGGUGAACUACAGGGCGCCCCAGCACAGGAGGCUCAGAACAGCCAUCUUGGGUAUCUCACUUCCAUCUCUAGCGUUGCUCGUGAUUUGCUCUUUCCUCAUUGAGAGUGACCACCCCACUCUCGGAAACACAGAAGUCAAGCUGAAUUGCAUUGGAAACCUCGUGCAUUUCAGGAUGAGUGCUCAGGUGUGGACAGGUUGCUUCUGCCAUUUGUGGAUUAAAAAAAGGAAGAAACGAAUGUGAAGAAAAGAUCUGAAAUAUUGACCAUUUCCUCACAAAUGAGAUGUCUGCUUUGCAGUCUGUUCUGGUGAGCUUGUUUGGAGCCAUCAUUCCCAUCUGGAGCAGAGAGAAUCAGCCUCGAGAGCAGUCUAUGUUGUUGCAUCCAGCAUUCAAAUGAUAUUAUCUUUGUUUCUUACACUGACGACAAGACAUUUAGGUUGGAGAACUCCAGUGGGCAUUAGAGCUGCUCUGAAGGGCUUACAUGAUUUGAAGAAAAUGUCAUAAAAGAAACACAAGUUCUUCU
ensembl:lncRNA